rnacentral:rRNA from 1 species
AAAUUGAAGAGUUUGAUCAUGGCUCAGAUUGAACGCUGGCGGCAGGCCUAACACAUGCAAGUCGAACGGUAACAGGAAGCGCUUGCUGCUUCGCUGACGAGUGGCGGACGGGUGAGUAAUGUCUGGGAAACUGCCUGAUGGAGGGGGAUAACUACUGGAAACGGUAGCUAAUACCGCAUAACGUCGCAAGACCAAAGAGGGGGACCUUCGGGCCUCUUGCCAUCGGAUGUGCCCAGAUGGGAUUAGCUUGUUGGUGGGGUAACGGCUCACCAAGGCGACGAUCCCUAGCUGGUCUGAGAGGAUGACCAGCCACACUGGAACUGAGACACGGUCCAGACUCCUACGGGAGGCAGCAGUGGGGAAUAUUGCACAAUGGGCGCAAGCCUGAUGCAGCCAUGCCGCGUGUAUG